UUUGAGGGCUGGAGAAAAGGCAUCGCACAGGGAGAUUUUAAUAGCUCCAGCUGUUGAAGUUGUCUGAAGGAGGAUUGAGAGGUGACUUGACUGCAGUGUGUAAGAACAUUCCUGGGGGAAAAUGCUGGAUAUUAAAGGGCUCUUUAAUCUAGCAAAGAAAGGCAUAGUAAGCAAUGGCUGGAGGCAAAAGCCAGACGAAUUCAAAGAGGAGAGAAGACACACAUUUUUUACGUGGUUAACCACCAGAGCACAUUCUCAAGAGAAGCCAAAGAUUUUCCAUCGUUUAAUGUCUUCAGCUGAAGAUUAGAGGGCCAGCCACAAACCAUCUACCCUUAAACAGAGAACAAACAAAAAUCUGUUAAUUAACUUCAUGAUGAAUUCUGGAAUGAGAUGUGAAAAACUGUAUGGGAAAAAAAUCAGAGUGAUUACGAAGGAUGYAGCGAAGCUCGGCAGUGUGCUGUGGUGUGGAAAUCCCAUUUCUAGAAGACAAUCCCUCGUUCUGGCUACCAGGGAUUCCACGCUCUCCUUCUUCAUUCCAUUCUCCUUCACUAUCUG